GUGAAUCAUCGAAUUUUUGAACGCAAAUUGCGCUUCCUAGCAUCCCGGGGAGUAUGCCUGUUUGAGGGUCAGUUUUAACACAAAAAUGGGUUUGGUUGCAAUUUGUGACGUUUCGCGAGUGUGGGUGAUCUUAUUUUUUUUGGUUAAGGGGCGUAAAAUUUACCUUUUUUGCGCAUCGUUAGUCGUACAGAAAUUUUUUUUUUAUUU
rnacentral:misc_RNA from 1 species